GGUGGUCUCAGUUAGUUCAAACAUUCUUAAGUCCAUUGGAAAAUGGCGCCAUGGAGGGUGAUAGCCCCGUAAAGAAUCCGUUUUGUUCUAUUUUCUUUGACCACCAAAGAGUCGAGUUGUUUGGGAAUGCAGCUCUAAGUGGGUGGUAAAUUCCAUCUAAAGCUAAAUAUUGGCGAGAGACCGAUAGCGAACAAGUACAGUGAUGGAAAGAUGAAAAGCACUUUGAAAAGAGAGUGAAAAAGUACGUGAAAUUGUUGAAAGGGAAGGGCUUGCAAGCAGACACAACCUUUUGGUUGGGCCAGCAUCGGGGCGAGGGGAAGGAAAAAAGAAAAGGAAAUGUAACUCUCGAGUAUUAUAGACCUCUUCCAAAACUUCCAUCUCAUCCCGAGGCCUGCGGAUUCAUCCUAGGAUGCUGGCGUAAUGGUUGCAAGUCGCCCGUCUUGAAACACGGACCAAGGAGUCUAACGUCUAUGCGAGUGUUUGAGUUCUUCAAAACCCAAACGCGCAAUGAAAGUAAUAGGAGCGAACCCCUCAAAAAGGUGCAGCUCCGACCACAUCAAGGCCUAAACCCUGAUGUGAGUAAGCAUGGCUGUUGGGACCCGAAAGAUGGUGAACUAUACCUGGAUAGGGUGAAGCCAGAGGAAACUCUGGUGGAGGCUCGUAGCGGUUCUGACGUGC
rnacentral:rRNA from 1 species